AUACGUAGGGAGCGAGCGUUGUCCGGAAUUACUGGGCGUAAAGGGCGCGUAGGCGGCGCUUCAAGUCGUCUGUCAAAUGGGAGGGCUUAACCCUUUUUCGCAGACGAAACUGGAGAGCUUGAGAAGCAGAGAGGCAAACAGAAUUCCUGGUGUAGCGGUGAAAUGCGUAGAUAUCAGGAAGAAUACCAGUGGCGAAGGCGGUUUGCUGGCUGCAUACUGACGCUGAAGCGCGAAAGCCAGGGGAGCAAACGGGAUUAGAUACCCCGGUAGUCCUGGCAGUAAACGAUGUAUGCUGGGUGUGAGACUAGCGAUAGUUUCGUGCCGAAGUUAACGCGAUAAGCAUACCGCCUGGGGAGUACGGUCGCAAGAUUGAAACUCAAAGGAACUGACGGG
rnacentral:rRNA from 1 species